rnacentral:tRNA from 1 species
UCUCGGUUAGCUCAGUCGGUAGAGCGCUCCACUGGAAACGGAGAGGUCCCUGGUUCGACACCACGACCAGGCG